UCUCCGUUGGUGAACCAGCGGAGGGAUCAUUACUGAGUUUACGCUCUAUAACCCUUUGUGAACAUACCUAUAACUGUUGCUUCGGCGGGUAGGAGUCCCCUAAAAAGGACGCCUCCCGGCCCUCCCGUCCGCGGGUGGGGCGCCCGCCGGAGGAUAACCAAACUCUGAUUUAACGACGUUUCUUCUGAGUGACACAAGUAAUAAUCAAAACUUUUAACAACGGAUCUCUUGGUUCUGGCAUCGAUGAAGAACGCAGC
rnacentral:misc_RNA from 1 species